UAAAGACAACAAGUGUUUGUAUAUACCCUCAGUAGUAUAGAACAUUCUUUGGGUAUCUGGCAAUACGCUAGAGACAUAUAUAAAUAUCGAGCACGGGAAACUCCUCAGUGAAGCCUGUGGCAGGGUUGGUUUCAGACACACACUGGAUCAAGUUGGGCUGUCUUAACUUCAGUAUAACCAGUGAGGGUGAUGGCUCGCUUCCUGUCCUGCCUGACGUGGGUGUUGCUGCUGGCUCUCUGCUACACGCCCACACCUGCUCACUCUGAGAGGUUGAGAACGUCAAGUGGUGGCAGACGACCACCGGUCCCGAGACCUACAGAUAUGAGUGCAUUUGGAUAAGGUGGAGUAGAUGCAACGAAACCCAACUCGGGAGCGAUAGUACACAACCCCAACAGUAAUUACCGACCACAAGUGGUGUUUGGUCCCAGACCUAGACCACGGCCCACCUGGUACUACAACCAGCCUUAUUGGUACUAUAGUGGAUAGCCGCUGGUACUACCCCUGCAGCUACCACCACCAUCCUUACUAAUGCUGAGUUGUACCGUACCUCUGACCCGGGUGGGACAGGUCCUGUCUAAACACACAGAAGCUCGUCCUGUGUAUAGUCAAAAUUCACUCUCUGAGGACCAACUUAAACUGAACAUUCAUAACAAUGAUCUACUUUUGUCUUCUGAGGUUCACUUUUAUUAUAAAUCUGAUAGUGGAGAUUAAUUUCACCUUUAAGGAAUAGUUUAAGCUAAACAAACUAUGUGGAGUAUAAUAGCUUUAUUAUGUGGAGCUCUAUAGCUUUACUAUGUUGAGUUGAAUCCUUCCAUUUACUUUAAACAAUCACUGCUGAAUGUUCUUUAAGGUGAGUCUGCCAGGUUCCUUGAAAGUAGCAUAAAUAAAUGUUUAUGGGUUAAAUUAUGACAUCACCUUAAUUAACGCUCUGAGCUGUGAGCGUUAAUAAAAAUAUGAAGCUGAUAUGUAUCUGAGGUUCAGGAGCCUCACGUGUAUCAUGAGCGAGAGAGAGUGUAGGACUGAGGGUAGAGUCAGGCCAGGGGUCUGGUCCUUACUGUUGACAUAGCCAGGUCACAGGGCUAUAGGUCAGAUGUCAAGAGGUCAUCUGUUAGACAAGAAGAUUCAUUACCAUACAUCACUAACUUCAGUAUUAGAGAGAAAAUGGUAGACACUGGCUCAUAGUUUACUCACCGUGGGUGUAGUAAUUAUAUAGUGCACAUUUAUAUAAGUAUUACUGUCUGUUAGACAGGGGAUAAUGUAUAACCUAACUGUCUCAGAACUAACUACCGUCUAUAGUCGUUCAGAUUAAUAAUAAUUGUUAAGUCUCUCUACGCCUCAAGAACUUAAUACAAUUCUAUGAGGUGAUAAUGAAAAGUUUUGUCUUAAGUCUUUUGAUAAAGUUUAGUGUUUGUUAUAGAGUCUGUCUGUACACCCUACUUCUCUUAUGAGGUAAAUACUUGUUUCUUAAUGUUUAUGUUGUUAAUACAAUUGUUUAUUAUACGACCAUUCAUAAAUAUAUUAUAAUUUAAA
rnacentral:lncRNA from 1 species